ACAAAACCAGACUAUGCUUGGGUUAUAUAGUUCAUUUCUAUUCAUCACCACAGGUUACAGAAAACAAACGCUAACAUCUCAGAGUUUUUACCAAGAUAGUACAGGUGACUGAUAGCUACAUCUGGAAUUUUAAGAACAAACACAUAAAAUAACCUCAAGGAAAUUUUUAUUAUUAGUUAAAUAAGGAGCUGCUAUACCAAAGCAUAAAAUGCCUGUGCUUUUUGGAAAUUAUCCCAAAAAAAAUAACCGGAUUUCUAAAUACAAGAACACAAACAUACUCUGGUGGUGGAUUUCUAAUCCCACUGGAGAAAGUCCAGAUCAUCUCCAUUUAAGGUAAUGCAAGCAGCAGCUGCACAUUUUUGUUCCCCAGAAGAAAAUGAAGCAAGCCAAAGUCUCCAACAAGUAUUCCUUUUUGAAACCUUUUCUUUUCUAAUGGCCCAAAUUAGUUCACUUCUGGCUGAGCACCUUGUACUGUAUACAGAAGAGUUGAUCAGAAAAAUGCAGUGUGCAUUUAAGUAUAAUUUGUAGACUUACUGCACCGAUAUGACAACAGUAAGCACACUAGAUAUUUUAUAAAGAAGACUCUUUAUUCAUACUUCACGUAGCAGAAAAAGAGGGUUUAAAGACUGAUGCAGAAUUUUUUUAUUUUUCCAUAACCUAUUUAAUGUAAGACCAAUUUUUCUACAGUCAAUAUAAUGACCACAAGACUCACAAUGGAUAUAUACAUAACAUUCACCUAGUAUGAAUCUAUAAUUCUUAUUCAGGUAUUUUAAACAGUUCUGGAGUAAACAGUCCUAAAAUGCUUUUAGAAAUACACAGAAGAGUGUUAUUAAAUUCCUUCAGAAGCACUGUUUAAGCAUUUGUAUUAGUCUAUCAUUUAUUUCCUGAUCACAAAUUAAACACAAUAAAAAGUAUCAAAUUUUAAUGAAUUUGAUGCAACUAUUAGAUUGAAAGCAAUAAUUUCUUUCCAAUAUGUCACAAUCUACUAUAUAUGUCAGAGACUUUGAGCUUUUGUCUGUCUCUCCAUCAUCUGGGAGUCUGUUCAAGAACUCCUAAACAUUAAGAGCUAAGGUCAACCAAAUUUGGUAUGCGCUUCCUCUUAUCAUAACAUAAAGCAAGGUCAGGGUUUGAUUGUGUCAGGACAAUGGGAUGUGCAUGGAAUUGGACUGUUUCUCAUCAAAUGGAAAGGGAGGGCUGUGAUAGCAGGGACAGUUAUUCUCCAGAAUGACCAUGGGGGGCAGCAAGCAAGUGUGUCCGUCACCCUGGGCCAGUCCCAGGGAGCAAUACUGCCAGCUGGGAAGCACAGCAGCCUUCAUCAUCCUGGGCCAGCUCCAGGGAGCAAUGCCGAUGGCCACUCUCACACCCUGCUCUGAGCCUCCUACCCACUGUCCUGGCUCUUGAAUCCCCAUCCCCUUCCUUGAACCCCCUCCCCACAUAUACACACCCCUUCCAAAACCCUGCUCUGGCUCCUGCACCCCCAUACUCCCAGCACAGAAGGAUCUGAGUAAUGUCAGGUAAAUCUCAUAGUACUAUAUAUGAAAAAAAUCCCAAUAAGCAUAUACAGACACAGUGGCAGUAACAGACCAGUGCAGCAAAAUCAACAAAGACAAGUUAAAAGCCUGGAAAUGAAUAAAUGAAUGACAGAAAAACACCACUUUCUCUAUGCCCACUUUUACAAGAGAUGUUGGGUGGUGUAGUCAAAUACUAAUGAUUUUAACUGUGGACAUUUUACUGUCAGGUCAGAAGUGAAGCAGCUGACUUUAAGCUAAGGAAAGUGCUUUUCCUAAAAGUGAUUCAAUUGGUCUAAAGAGAACAGCCCCAUAAUGUACCCAUCAAUGGUAAAUGCACUUUCUGUGGGACUGCAUCCUGUGAUAAAUAUACGAUGCUUUCUAUAUAAAGGGCAAAUACAUUUCUCCUGAGAUGUCAGAUAUCCAGAAUACUAACACUGUCACUACGCCUGAAUUAUGAAGUCUUAUGAACAAGAGCCACCACUAUUCACUUGAGAUAUUUUAUUAACUUUAAAUUGAAACAUGUAACCUUACAUUUUCUGUUCCUGAUGCUGAAGGGCAAUAGAAAUCUGCCAGAUUUACUGUAUUAGGAUAAAUACGUCCAGCUCUGGUUGUGUUAAAAGUUAUUGCAACAGUUUUACAGGACCUGGCUUCGUUUAACUAGGGGUAAAGUCUAAGAGUAACUCAUCAAAACAGUGCAGAAAAGUAUUUUAAUGCAAACACUAUAUAUUUAAAAAAAGCUGCAAGGCAAAACCAUUCUCUCAGCAAAUGACUUUCUAUCUGGUUUGUGAUCUCUAUUUAAGCUGCACAAUUUACAGAGCAGGAAACACAUCUUCCUUUGUUUACUAAUGUACCAAAUAUAUUAUCUGUGCUUUAUUACAAAGAACGAUCAUAUCUGACCACAAUAUAAUUUGGUUUGAGGUAAAGGGCAAAAGAAGUAACUAUUUUAAGACUAUCUGGAAAGCUAAAAGCAUCCCUCUUUAUCUGGGCAAAACCCUGCCCCACAUCUAAGUUGUAGAAGUGGAGACCUUAAGAUGCAUCAGUUUCUCUGUGGUGGGGAAGGAAAGUUUUAGAGAACAUAACACAGAGAGAAUAGUGAUCAAGUGUAUAACAAUAUUAAAAGCUCUCUCACAGCUUAGUAAACCCCUUUUAACACAUGAAAAUGGUUCAGAGCUUUUGAAGAUACUUUCAAGACCCAUAAGGAAAAAAAAGGAUAUAAUUUAUAUGGAAGCAAAAUAUCCAAAUAGUGGCGUUUUUUUAUCAUAGGAAAAUAUUUUUUCAUUGUAGCAAAUUUACCAUUUUGAAGAAAUUUCUAGUGUAUUCUUAAUUAAUCACAAAUUUAUAUAAAAGUUACUAAAAAUACUACAUAUUGACAUGCAAGCUCAUCCCCAUGUUUGCAAACACUAGAUCAUAUCACUGCCCAUGCCCUUCGGUUCAUGCCCAUGAAGACUGUUUUCCUUCUGUACACUUUCUUUAAAAAUGUGGCCAAUAAAAAGAGCCCCAACAAACAUUUUUUGAGUGCUACCAUUACUGUCAUCAUGAGUUUAGAUGAGCAACUUCCCUGUAUUAAAAGGCCAUCUGAUAACCAAUCACAACUUUUUAAUUCCUGCAUGACAUCAUGAGCCCUGCCUCAAGCUUUUGUUAUUUUUUCCUCCGCCUUCUUCAAUUGUUACUACAAACUUUGUGACAGACAGACAAGUUGCCAGAGAAGUCCAGACCAAGUUUCCCACAGCUCAGAGUGCAAUAUCCUAUAAUUCACUAAUAAUCAUCAGCAGAGGUGACAGAAAGUGAGGACAGGUAGAAAGCUGAAACAAGGAUGAAAUACAUGUGAAUUACUACUGCAACUGAACCUUCAGAAGCUACAAUCAAGAAUUCCCUUACAAGCACAAGAGAUCAGACUAGUGCAAAUUAUGGAUCUUGCUAACAACAGAGGCCUCAACUUGCUACUCAAUUUUCUGCUUAUUGUUAUGGUUCUGGUGCUCAUGUUUAUCCUGGUGAAACUCAUGUGAAUUACCUUGAAGUUCUGCUUUUUUUGCAAUGAUAACUUGACACUUCCAAAUAUCUGAACAUAACAUGUAAAGACUGUAUGAGACAGAAAAGUGCCUUUAAACUGUAGGAUUAUUAUAUGCUCAUGUAUCUAUUCUACAGCAAAACGUCUUAAAAGCAAAACAAUCAGCAUACUUGCCAAAGGCUAAGAAGAGCAUAUAGUUUCAUGCCGGCUACAAAAGGACACUAUUGAAGCAUAUAUUGAGCUCUUACCACUGAUGUAACAAACCUGUAUUUAAACAACUAAGAAUCAAAACAAUCUCUGCUAAGAGGACAACAGAAAUCACAAAAAUGGAAUCUUCAUAGAGUAGCCUCUUUGCAGAAACUGAAACACAGGCCUGAAACGGACAAGAGAGGCACCGAGAGCUAACUGAUGGGAAGUAUCAGAUUACGUAUGGAAAAGAAAAAACAAAAUGUAAUUUUGGCUAUGGAAAAGCAAAUCCCACCAACUGGCUGCAGGAUUUGUCAUGCAUCUUCAAAUAUAUAUAAAAAAUAAUUUAUUUAAAAAGUAUACCAGCAGCAUUUGAAAAAAAGUCAUCAAGUAGUACUAUUAUGGAUAAGCAUUGAAAAAAUUUCACCAGUUAGCUGUUAGCUUAAAAUAUUAAGUAAUAACAGUAAUAUAAAAUAGAGAACAAUAUCAAGUCUCCACAGUCUACUUCCGUCUCUCUGAAGCUGCCCAAAGUCUCAUGUAAUAGUAGAUAAGACGGCCUGGAUACUUACAAUUAAAGCAUUUCACUGCUGUCUAUGAAUGAAGUAUGUGCAAUAAAUAUUUAAACCACCUUUUGAAAAAUCAAAAAGACAUAUGUAGUAACAAGCUAUAAAGUCAAUAGGCAUUCUAUUCUGUGUUAUACAGAAUUCCUGUAUCAAUUGUCAAUGUAUGCUUCAAAGAAAAAAAAAGUUACCUAGCUACUUUAUUAUAUGCACUUUAACACGUUUUGUUUGAUAUUUUGGAUGCUAUUCUGCUUUUAAAACAAUGUGUGUACGUUCAUAUACAAGGGAUUUCAAUGUUAGGAGUAGGCUUAAUGUUUUAAUUAACAUGCCCUUUUAAAGCCUAAGUAAGCACAUUACCACAACAUGAAAUAUACCAAACUAAUCCAAAGGCCAUGGCAGUAAAAAAGAACAACCAUGCUAUAAAUUUCUAAUCAUACACCUAUUCACAGACAUGGCACAUACACUGCUGUAGAAUGUAUUUUGUAUAUAUAAACAACUACAGCUAUCUAAAAGUUUGUAUCAAAAUAGACAAUGUGAAAAAAGGAAAAAUGGUGACUUUAUGGGUUGUAUUUAUAUUUCAUUUUUAAAUUCCAAAUCACUCUACAAACAGAGCAUACAGGUACAGGUUAUACCUACCUUAACCAGGACUCUCUGGUCCGGCAUGGACCACAAUGUUCUUGGACCACAGAGCCCAGGAAGAGGGAGGGCUUGUGGCAGGGCAGGAGCGCCAUAUGGGGCACUGGUCACUCAGCCGGGAGCCCAGAGUGUGUGUACAUGGGCAGGAGGAUGAACAGCAUGGUGGGGAGUUCUGGCCCCAGCGGAGCUCCCUGGCCCCAGAAUCUGGGGAACUCUGGCCUCCAUCCCUAUACCCUGGACACCAGCAGCAGGGCUGGAGAGAGCCUCAGGCAGCAGCUGGGGCAGCAUGCAUCCCUAGCCCAGUGGCAGCACAAGCAAGUGAGGGAGGGACCUACCCUGGUCUGGCAAAUCCCAAGGGUGCUGCACCAGCAAGGUCCAACCUGUAUAAGAAUCUCACCACCCUCCACAAAUGUGUAGCUAUGUCUAGGGAGAAAUGCAACAAUUGUUUAUCAAACAAAUAUUGAUACUACGCUAGUUCGAGACAGAUAGUAAAACAUUCCGUUUUGACAAGACAAUAUGAAUUUGUAUGAGAUACUGGGAGUAACACAUUUUCUGCAGCAAACAGAGGCAUAAUAUUUUAAUUGACCAAAAUGAUCAGGAUUGGGUUUGCCCAUCAGCCAUCAAUGCAUAUCCAAAACCAGUCCCACAGACUUACUGUAUUAAAGUGAAUUUUUGGCUAUGAAAUCCCAAAACCAUCUCUUUCAGAGAGCUACAACAGUGAAUGUUAAUUAAACUAAAAGUGACUUAAAAUUAAAUUUUAGCAUGAAAAAGUCUCUCUGGAAAUACAGUUAAAUUAAAAUUAAAAUUUUUGGUGGGGUAAUGUUUAUUUUAAGAAACAAUUCCAAUUUUUUAAUCAGGUGGGGCCAAACUGAAAAUUCUCUGAGUUGAUAUUUCAAAAUGAUUUUUUUUUCCCAUUUCAAAAUGCAUACUUCAAACUGAGAAGGAGGGUAAACACCUUCUUAAUGGAAGCUGGCAAACAGACAAAUUACGGGGAAAGCCAGAUUCCUAAGUAACUUCCACCCAGCACAGAUGCAGUGUCACAGUUGAACUGGCAUAGUAUAUUAGGCUAAAGUGUCACCGUUAGGGAUGUUAAAUAUUGGUUAAUUGAAUAGUCAAGUAACCUCAUGAAUUCUUAUUGGUUAGUCGACUAUUCUAUAGUCCUUGGGAGAGGGGCUGACAACCAGUGCACUCCGCUCUCCCUCCCGAGAAGUCCCCUGCCAUUCCACACUGCUGCUUCUGUAUCAGAGGCAGCAGCAUGGGGUGCCAGGAGGGAUCUGGUCUGUGAGGGGAGCCAGUUUAAAAACCAGCUCCUUUUGUGGACCAGCUGCCUGUCACCCUGUGCUGCUGCCUCUGAUAAAGUGGCAGCAGCUGCUGUCUGGGGGGGUGGGUCUGAACUCCCGGAAUCAGCAUGAGCCAGGACUGAGCCAGGCUGCCUACCCGCCCGGCUCCUAACACAUUUUAAAUGCAAAGCCGCAGCAGGAGUAGAUCCCAGACCUGUUGCUAGCCAGGACUGAGCCGAGCUACUGACUAUCCUGCUAAAAAAUUUACUGGUCCGGGUGUGUGGCGGGGAAAUCUGUGUAGUCUACAGCAUUAAGCUAUAAGCUUUUGCUUAUCAGUUAAUCCAUUACACUAUUACAUCCUUAGUCACCACAGUAUGAAACAAAACAAAAAUAAACACAGCAAGAGUGCUGAGAGAGGCAGUUGGGUGGAUGGUAAGGGCAUAGGCCUGACUUCAGUACAGGGCCAGCUCCACGCCAUGUAGCCACACUUAGGUCAGUCCAAGUCACUCAGGGUAGUGAGACCUGCCCCAAAAAUGGUAGGCUAUGAGACUCUACUCAUAAUUCAAACGAAGGAUGUAAAAGAUUAACCAGUUAACUGGAAGCAUCACCUUUAAUGGGUAAUGCUCACUGGUGCCAGAUAACCAGUAACCAGGGGGGCUGGAACAGCUCCCCACCUACUGCAGGCAAGAGACUUCUCCUGCCCCGCAGGGGGACUGCUGUGGAUGGGGGCUGCUCUUGUCCAGAGCAUCCCCGGUCUGUGGAAAGCCUCAACAUUUAACUGGUUAACUGAAUAACUAGGAUUUUACAUCCCAAUUCAAACACAGCUGCUGAACUUAGAGAGCAGGCUAGCACUAACAGGUGCUGAAUGCUGCAGUCCUUUCCUGUGUAAAAAGUUACGUAAAAUGGGAUUGCUGUGUGAUGGAACAUUAGGCAUUGUGGAAGAAAAAAAGUGAGGAAUAAAAAAGCAUAAUGCCUGACAGCAUGGGAAUAUAAUGUGGAUUCGUCUAACUCAGAGAAAAUGCUAACCAUAUGUUUCUUUUAAAAAAAUCUGCUGUUUAAAGGUCUGUUUAUACCUUAAAGUACUUGAUAAAACAUAUGUUCUGAAAACAGCACACAUUAGUAAAGGCAACCUUGAGAACAUUCCCAUGGUUUUGGUGAGUAUCAGAGACACACUUAUAAACUAGCAUCUCCCCUGAAAUUUGUUUCACAAUGCAUGAGUAGAUAUUAUAGCCUCAGGUGUAAUUUCUUCAAAGCAAUAUGCAUUUCCUCUGGAGAACAGUUCAUCUGUUGAUCCACUGAACUUUUUUUUUUUUUUUAAACAGUUUCAAUAUGCAGAUGCUGUCCAUAUAGACCAAAUUUGUGGUUAGAAUGUGUUUAAAAGGCCAACUUUUCUGUACACACUUUCUGAUGUUGACAGAACUUGUCCUGAAGAUUACAUUCUUAGUCAAAGAUAAAUUGCAGGGGUAGGAGUGCUUGCUUUAAUACAGAAACAGCAUAUGUGGGUUUUCUCUGCUCUAAAAAUCACUGCAUUUUAAUCAUUACACAUUUCCAAGCAUAUAGCAUAUUCCUUAUUGCACUGUUUAGAAAUUGUCAAAAUCAGCAAAAACGAUCCCUAGUGUCAUGAAAUGAAAGUCCUUACUCUGAAAGGGAAAAGAAAGUUUAUCAUCCUGUUGUUAUAUUGUACACAAUAGCACUGCUUUACUUUUUUUUUUUUUUUUUAAUAAAAACUUUUUACAAGAUUUUUAAUUUUUCAGAAACAGUAGCAAAUCGUUUUCAGGUGAUUCUGCUGUUCAGACAAUAUUCAAAAUGUAAAAAAGGAUUACAAAUAAAUACAUUUUAUCCUAGAAACAUGUUAAAGGUGUUGCAAUAAGAUUAUUUUAAACAAUACCAAGUUCUAAUUGCAGCGAUAAAAGAAGGAAACUGUUCUCCCUCUUUUAAGCAUUGCUACAUUGCUUCUAAAAGGCUUUGAGCUAUUGCAAAUGCUCCAAUAUACACAUCUCCCCAUUGUUCAAGUGUUCCUCAUGUAGGCCACCACCCCAAUCUCUCACUUGAAGGAGACAAGACAGGCUUUGAAAUGUGAUCUAUAGAUACCACUCUUAAUCAGCUGCUUACUGGCUUCUGCUACUGUUAAGCAUUAUUAACCACUGUAUUCCAAACCACUGUGUACAGUUCCCCAGCUUUCCCACCCUAGGCUAGCCAGAAGAGUUAGUGUACGGGAGGUGUUCCAUCUCCAUGAGAGGUGGUAGCUAUAUCAAUGGGAGAAACUCAAAAUAAGUGUGUAGUAUAAACCAGGGCCAAAUAGCUCAGAAAUCAAAUGCUGAUCUUCUCCAGGGCAGUUGAGAUUACUUUCCCUAAAGCUACAGCUUGACACAAGGAACUUAAUUUUUAUAUAAAAAUUGAAGAAGAAUGGACUCCAAAAACAGUACAAAACAGGGAAUUUAAAAUAGAACAUAAAGUUUUAAACAAAAGCUUAUCUUAGAUGUGUUACAAUCCUGAAAAUCUGCAGAAGAGAAGCAUUGUUUUGUGAGCUCAGCCAAAAAGAUAACUAUUGUCUGUGCU